UACAGGGGGGGCAAGCGUUGUUCGGAAUUACUGGGCGUAAAGGGCUCGUAGGCGGCCAACUAAGUCCGACGUGAAAUCCCAAAGCUUAACUUUGGAACUGCGUCGGAUACUGGAUGGCUUGAAUUCGGGAGAGGGAUGCAGAAUUCCAGGUGUAGCGGUGAAAUGCGUAGAUAUCUGGAGGAAGACCGGUGGCGAAGGCGGCCUGCUGGGCAGUUACUGACACUGAGGCGCGACAGCGUGGGGAGCAAACAGG
rnacentral:rRNA from 1 species